UGCAGGGGAGUCAUCUAGAUACUUAGGAAUCUGAGCAUUUUAGACCUUUUGGCGCACUCUCUGAUUACCUUAGCCUUGUUUCUAUGUGUUCUUGGUAGAGCAAACUUCACUCUUUAGGCUCUGUUUUGUGUUCUGCUUUCAAUCUCUGGGAAGAGAUUCAAUGUAUCUUUAUAUCUGAAUAUAUCUUUAAGGGUGUAGAAAAAAAACACACAAGAAAGCUCUUGGGAGAAUAGGAAGGUGUAAUUUGAGGAAUAUUCUUCCUAAGGAAGAAGGAACACAUUUUCAGAAGUUGUGUGUUAAAGUGGGCUGUGGUAAGAUGUGGUGUGUUGAGUCUUCAGAUGUAUAUGUCUACUUUAACCCACAGGAAUUUUUGAUGAGGCAUUUGGAUAUGGAGACAUGGCAGUGAGGAAGUCACUUUCCUGGUCUUCUGGCUACAUGCAAAUUGAACCUUACACAAGAGGGUUCAUCAUCUCUUCGACUAUAGGUCAUUGGCUCAGUUUACAGUAGCAGAGAUGAAGUCUCUCCUAGUGAAUGGGCUUUAAGCUCAAGUAGACAACUGUUGGUUACCCCCAAGAAAAUGGCUUUCUAUUUGAUCUUCAUGUUGACAAUCCCAUUUGAUGUCUACAGUGGGAUCUUCUCAAGUGAG